rnacentral:rRNA from 1 species
UACAUGUGGGGCAAGCGUUGUUCGGAAUUACUGGGCAUAAAGGGUGCGUAGGUGGUUUGUUAAGUCAGGGGUGAAAUCCCGCGGCCCAACCGUGGAACUGCCUUUGAUACUGGCGAACUUGAGUGCGUGAGGGGUAGGGGGAACGAGCAGUGUAGCGGUGAAAUGCGUAGAUAUUGCUCGGAAGGCCAGAGCCGAAGGGGCCCUACUGGUGCGUAGCUGACACUGAGGCACGAAAGCGUGGGGAGCAAACAGG